rnacentral:misc_RNA from 1 species
AGCAGCCGCGGUAAUUCCAGCUCCAAUAGCGUAUAUUAAAGUUGUUGCAGUUAAAAAGCUCGUAGUUGAAUUUCGGGAUCAAGGAAUCGGUCAUGCCUCGGUAUGUACUGGUUUUAUUGGUUCUCACCUUCUAAAGAACCAUGAUGUCACUCAUUUGAUGUUAUGGGGAAUUAGGACUGUUACCUUGAAAAAAUUUAGAGUGUUUAAGGCAGGCUUACGCUUGAAUACAUUAGCAUGGAAUAAUGAAAUAGGACAUCAGAUUCUAUUUUGUUGGUUUCUAGGAUCGAUGUAAUGAUUAAUAGGGAUAGUUGGGGGCAUUAGUAUUCAAUUGUCAGAGGUGAAAUUCUUGGAUUUAUUGAAGACUAACUACUGCGAAAGCAUUUGCCAAGGAUGUUUUCAUUAAUCAAAGAACGAAAGUUAGGGGAUCGAAGACGAUCAGAUACCGUCGUAGUCUUAACCAUAAACUAUGCCGACUAGGGAUCGGAUGAUGUUUAUUUUUUAGUGACUCAUUUCGGCACC